AGGAAUUAAUCAAGUAAAAUAUCACUGACCAUUUGAAAGAAAGCUUCUGAGAGCCAGUUUGGGCUAGUGGCUGAGGCACCAGGCUAGAAACCAAGAGACGAUCUGCAAAAGUGGUAAAUGCGAAGAUUGGUUGCAAAAUUCUUUUUUCAUCACAGUCAUAACUAUGAAUGGUUGCUCUAUGAGGCAGUUGCUGACUGAGGAUUACCUGUGCCUCCUCGUAAAUAGGAAUGGUUUUUUUGGGGGGAGGGGGGAGAAAUCAGGGCCAGGCAAAUGCACACAGCAUCAAUUAAAAGUGGAGAAACUGGUGGGGCACUUUGUGCUCUUACAUUAGGUGUUCUUUGUGCUCUUACAUUAGAAACUGGGAAUAAGAAGUGACUGGUAGUUGAACACUAAUAGGCAGUUGGGAAAAGUAUAUAAUAAUCCUAAUUAGGUAUUUCUUUUAUACAAUAUUCAAAGCCAAAAAGAAAAUCUCUAGCUAUGGUAAGAUACUAUGAUAAAGCUAUGCUACUUCUGCUAUGCUAAAACACCCAUGCAUCAGCUCGUACUGUUUGUCUGAUUAAUUUCUUACAUAUUGUGGAGUACUCAGUUAAAGAAUAUCAGGGGGAAACAGAUCUUUUCCCCCUAUAGAUUGUUUUAAUUUUAAUUGAAACACAUGUAAAAAGAGUAGAAAUAAAUAUAUAUAUAUUUCUGA